AGAGUUUGAUCAUGGCUCAGAUUGAACGCUGGCGGUAGGCUUAACACAUGCAAGUCGUGCGAGAAAGUAUCUUCGGAUAUGAGUAGAGCGGCGGACGGGUGAGUAACGCGUAGGAAUCUACCUAGUAGAAGGGGAUAGCCCGGGGAAACCCGGAUUAAUACCGUAUACCUCCUUCGGGAGAAAGAAGGCCUCUCUUUGAAGCUUUCGCUACUAGAUGAGCCUGCGUAAGAUUAGCUAGUUGGUGAGGUAAUGGCUCACCAAGGCUACGAUCUUUAGCUGGUCUGAGAGGACGAUCAGCCACAUUGGGACUGAGACACGGCCCAGACUCCUACGGGAGGCAGCAGUGGGGAAUAUUGGACAAUGGGCGCAAGCCUGAUCCAGCCAUACCGCGUGUGUGAAGAAGGCCUUCGGGUUGUAAAGCACUUUAAGCAGGGAGAAAAAGUUAUAAGUUAAUACCUUAUAACCCUGAUGUUACCUGCAGAAUAAGCACCGGCUAAUUCCGUGCCAGCAGCCGCGGUAAUACGGAAGGUGCAAGCGUUAAUCGGAAUUACUGGGCGUAAAGCGCGCGUAGGUGGUUUGUUAAGUUGGAUGUGAAAGCCCUGGGCUCAACCUAGGAACUGCAUCCAAAACUAACUCACUAGAGUACGAUAGAGGGAGGUAGAAUUCAUAGUGUAGCGGUGGAAUGCGUAGAUAUUAUGAAGAAUACCAGUGGCGAAGGCGGCCUCCUGGAUCUGUACUGACACUGAGGUGCGAAAGCGUGGGUAGCGAACAGGAUUAGAUACCCUGGUAGUCCACGCCGUAAACGAUGACAACUAGCUGUUGGGAGACUAUGUCUUUCAGUGGCGCAGCUAACGCUUUAAGUUGUCCGCCUGGGGAGUACGGCCGCAAGGCUAAAACUCAAAUGAAUUGACGGGGACCCGCACAAGCGGUGGAGCAUGUGGUUUAAUUCGAUGCAACGCGAAGAACCUUACCAGGGUUUGACAUGAUACGAAUUUCUUUGAAAGAAGAAAGUGCCGUUUGGAACGUAUACACAGGUGGUGCAUGGCUGUCGUCAGCUCGUGUCGUGAGAUGUUGGGUUAAGUCCCGCAACG
rnacentral:rRNA from 1 species